AACGCGACCCCAGGUCAGGCGG
rnacentral:rRNA from 4 species